rnacentral:misc_RNA from 1 species
GAAAUGCGAUAAGUAAUGUGAAUUGCAGAAUUCAGUGAAUCAUCGAAUCUUUGAACGCACAUUGUGCCCCCUGGUAUUCCGGGGGGCAUGCCUGUUCGAGCGUCAUUUCACCACUCAAGCCUCGCUUGGUAUUGGGCAACGCGGUCCGCCGCGUGCCUCAAAUCGACCGGCUGGGUCUUCUGUCCCCUAAGCGUUGUGGAAACUAUUCGCUAAAGGGUGUUCGGGAGGCUACGCCGUAAAACAACCCCAUUUCUAAGGUUGACCUCGGAUCAGGUAGGGAUACCCGCUGAACUUAAGC